CAGUCUGCAACUCGACUGCGUGAAGUCGGAAUCGCUAGUAAUCGCGGAUCAGCAUGCCGCGGUGAAUACGUUCCGGGUCUUGUACACACCGCCCGUCACACCAUGGGAGUCGGAAAUGCCCGAAGUCUGUGACCUAACCGUAAGGAAGGAGCAGCCGAAGGCAGGUCGGAUGACUGGGGUGAAGUCGUAACAAGGUAUC
rnacentral:rRNA from 1 species